AACCAUUCUCACCUGCGGCUAGACCUGCGGAAGGAUCAUUACCGAGUUUACAACUCCCAAACCCCUGUGAACAUACCUAUACGUUGCCUCGGCGGAUCAGCCCGCGCCCUGUAAAAAGGGACGGCCCGCCCGAGGACCCCUAAACUCUGUUUUUAGUGGAACUUCUGAGUAAAACAAACAAAUAAAUCAAAACUUUCAACAAUGGAUCU
rnacentral:misc_RNA from 1 species